CUUAAUAUCCUCUAAUAACCUAGUAUAUGUUGAGAUACCCCCAGCUGUCUCAAAAUUGUCCUUUUAUAGCUGACUUAUUUGAAUCAGGAAUGAAAUAAGGUUAACAUAUGGUCUUUUGUUUAUAUAUAUAUAAUCUCUUAAAUCUCUUUUAAUCUGUAAUGGUUCUGAUUGGUAUGCCAUUUAUUAAUAGUUGCUGAAAAAUUACCAUUUUUAAAGAAUAAAAAUAGAUACUAAAUCAUACUGACAUAACGAUAUCCUUUUCCUCCCUCUCUGUUAACCCCUUUUUUGGAAUAGGAUGCAUUUCAGAAGCUCCCAGUAUCUUUAAUUCACCAUUCUGAGUAAAACUAUUACUAUACUUUAGACCACAUACAAUAGUACAAUCUUGGUUGAAGAGAGUUUCUUUUACAUUUGUUCUAUGCU
rnacentral:lncRNA from 1 species